rnacentral:tRNA from 1 species
AUUUAAGUAGUUUAAAAAAAAUAUUAAUUUGUGAAAUUAAAGUUAUAUAAUUAUAUCUUAAAUU